CUUCCUUUGCUGGCGACCGGCGCACGGGUGAGUAACACGUAUCCAACCUGCCCUUUACUCGGGGAUAGCCUUUCGAAAGAAAGAUUAAUACCCGAUAGCAUAAUGAUUCCGCAUGGUUUCAUUAUUAAAGGAUUCCGGUAAAGGAUGGGGAUGCGUUCCAUUAGGUUGUUGGUGAGGUAACGGCCCACCAAGCCUUCGAUGGAUAGGGGUUCUGAGAGGAAGGUCCCCCACAUUGGAACUGAGACACGGUCCAA
rnacentral:rRNA from 1 species